rnacentral:rRNA from 1 species
UACGAAGGGGGCUAGCGUUGUUCGGAAUUACUGGGCGUAAAGCGCGCGCAGGCGGUCUUCCAAGUCAGUGGUGAAAGCCCGGAGCUCAACUCCGGAAUUGCCAUUGAAACUGUUAGACUUGAGGAUGAGAGAGGUGAGUGGAAUUCCCAGUGUAGAGGUGAAAUUCGUAGAUAUUCGCAAGAACACCAGUGGCGAAGGCGGCUCACUGGCCCGGUACUGACGCUGAGGUGCGAAAGCGUGGGGAGCAAACAGG